rnacentral:rRNA from 1 species
GGACAAUGGAGGCAACUCUGAUCCAGCCAUGCCGCGUGAAGGAAUAAGGCCCUAUGGGUUGUAAACUUCUUUUAGACGGGACAAAACCCCUUUACGUGUAAAGGGUUGAUGGUACUGUCAGAAUAAGCAUCGGCUAACUUCGUGCCAGCAGCCGCGGUAAUACGAAGGAUGCAAGCGUUAUCCGGAAUUAUUGGGUUUAAAGGGUGCGUAGGCGGACUAAUAAGUCAGUGGUGAAAGCCUGCAGCUUAACUGCAGAAUUGCCAUCGAUACUGUUAGUCUUGAGUACAGUUGAGGUAGGCGGAAUGUGUCAUGUAGUGGUUAAAUGCUUAGAUAUGACACAGAACACCGAUUGCGAAGGCAGCUUGCUAAGCUGUAACUGACGCUGAGGCACGAAAGCGUGGGGAGCAAACA